AGUGAACGCUGGCGGUAGGCCUAACACAUGCAAGUCGAACGGCAGCACAGUAAGAUCUCGCUCUUACGGGUGGCGAGUGGCGGACGGGUGAGGAAUACAUCGGAAUCUACUUUUUCGUGGGGGAUAACGUAGGGAAACUUACGCUAAUACCGCAUACGACCUACGGGUGAAAGCAGGGGAUCUUCGGACCUUGCGCGAUUGAAUGAGCCGAUGUCGGAUUAGCUAGUUGGCGGGGUAAAGGCCCACCAAGGCGACGAUCCGUAGCUGGUCUGAGAGGAUGAUCAGCCACACUGGAACUGAGACACGGUCCAGACUCCUACGGGAGGCAGCAGUGGGGAAUAUUGGACAAUGGGCGCAAGCCUGAUCCAGCCAUACCGCGUGGGUGAAGAAGGCCUUCGGGUUGUAAAGCCCUUUUGUUGGGAAAGAAAAGCAGCAGGUUAAUACCCCGCUGUUCUGACGGUACCCAAAGAAUAAGCACCGGCUAACUUCGUG
rnacentral:rRNA from 1 species